AGUGAAGUCAGCUAACCAAGCUUUUGGGCCCAUGCCCCAAACAUGUGGGUUAGACCCCCUCCUCCACUA
rnacentral:tRNA from 1 species